rnacentral:tRNA from 1 species
GGAAAGGUGGCCGAGUGGUCGAAGGCACACGCUUGGAAAGCGUGCAACUCGCAAGGGUUCGCGGGUUCGAAUCCCGCCCUUUCCG